rnacentral:tRNA from 1 species
AGGAUAAUAGUUAAAUCUAACAUUUGAUUUGCAUUCAAAAAAUGUUGACAUAAUCAACUUAUCUU